UAUUUAUCUGUCUGCGGUCACACUAAAUUGGCUAAGAAAAACAAAAACAACUUUUUAUCCCAGUUGCAGCUGAUCAGAGUGCAAUUUCUGCAAUGCAGCACACGCUUAUUCGCUGCUUGGGCAUGGCCCGGAUAUCCCUGACGCGUUUGCAGCCCAGACCCACAGUGGCAGCCUCCAGGGGACAGGAAGCUGGCUCCAUCACCACCUCCAUCUCGAAGCCAACACAACCGGUCAGUCGGUCUUUCGCCUCGCUGCCGCAGGAGCAAGACAAGAAGGAUCAGAAUGCCAGAGAAAGCCUCAACCGCCUGCCUCGCCUAAUGGACUUUCCAGAGAUCGUGUGGCCAUCGGCGCUGAACUCGUUGAAGAAUUGGAUCACCAUACAGUUCAUAAUUCGACCCUACUUCGACAGCGAGUUUCAACUCAAGGACUUCAUAUACGGCGCCAAGCAAGCGCUGCAGGUAGUAUCCUCAAAACUAAUGGGCGGCGACCUAGACUCCCUGGACAAUCUUGUCUCGCCCGAGGCGAUCGCAGAGCUUAGGCCGGUAAUCCAGAAACUGUCAAUGACGCAACGGAGGCAGCUGGAAAUCAGGGAGAGCGACAUAUACCUCAGCUUUCCCUAUCAGAGAUCACCAUGGUGUUUCACGUAAUGCGUGGUCUAUCCGAGAUGCGGGAACGCGGCGAGGAAAUACCCUGGAACAUGGGGACCCUUCCCGAGUACCAGGACAAGGUUUUCAUCUGCAACUACCGUUUUGUGAAAGAGUUCACCGCUGGGCACCAAUCGGACUGGACCGUCA
rnacentral:misc_RNA from 1 species